UGGUCCAAGACGGUGCGUUUC
rnacentral:siRNA from 1 species